UGUCGCGAGAUUUGGAGAUCGCGGGAAAACUUGUUUGCGGGUGUGUGUUGGGGACACACAUCCCGCGCGCGCGGGACAUUCGAGUGUCUGACCCUCGGAACUCGGGCUGGAAUGAGCCUCUGGGUGGACAAAUACCGGCCCUGCUCCUUGGGACAGCUGGACUAUCACAAGGAGCAGGCGGCCCAGCUGCGCAACCUGGUGCAGUGUGGUGACUUUCCUCAUCUGUUAGUGUAUGGACCAUCAGGUGCUGGAAAAAAGACAAGAAUUAUGUGUAUUCUACGUGAACUUUAUGGUGUUGGAGUGGAAAAAUUGAGAAUUGAACAUCAGACCAUCACAACUCCAUCUAAAAAGAAAAUUGAAAUUAGCACUAUUGCAAGCAAUUACCACCUUGAAGUUAAUCCUAGUGAUGCUGGAAAUAGUGAUCGGGUUGUAAUUCAGGAGAUGUUGAAAACAGUGGCACAGUCACAGCAACUUGAAACAAGCUCUCAAAAAGAUUUUAAAGUUGUGUUAUUGACAGAAGUUGACAAACUUACUAAAGAUGCUCAACAUGCCUUGCGCAGAACCAUGGAAAAGUAUAUGUCCACCUGCAGAUUGAUCUUGUGUUGCAAUUCUACAUCUAAAGUGAUACCACCUAUUCGUAGUAGAUGCCUUGCAGUUCGUGUGCCUGCUCCCAGCAUUGAAGAUAUUUGCCAUGUGUUAUCUACUGUAUGUAAGAAGGAGGGUCUGAAUCUUCCUCCACAACUGGCUCACAGACUUGCAGAGAAGUCCUGCAGAAAUCUCAGAAAAGCUCUGCUUAUGUGUGAAGCCUGCAGAGUGCAACAAUAUCCUUUUACUGCAGAUCAAGAAAUCCCUGAAACAGAUUGGGAGGUGUAUCUGAGGGAGACUGCCAAUGCUAUUGUCAGUCAACAAACUCCACAGAGGCUCCUUGAAGUUCGUGGAAGACUGUAUGAGCUUCUAACUCAUUGUAUUCCUCCUGAAAUAAUAAUGAAGGGCCUUCUCUCAGAACUUUUACAUAAUUGCGAUGGACAACUGAAAGGAGAAGUGGCCCAGAUGGCAGCUUACUAUGAACAUCGUCUGCAACUGGGUAGCAAAGCCAUUUAUCACUUGGAAGCAUUUGUGGCCAAAUUUAUGGCACUUUAUAAGAAGUUCAUGGAGGAUGGAUUGGAAGGCAUGAUAUUCUGACAUCUCUCAGUAAUUCUUCCUAAUGUAUCUCAGUAUCAUCAUUUAUGUUCAAUUUAUAUUGGAAGAGCUGCAGAUGAAGAAACUGGAUCUAGGCACGUGAGCACAGACUCCCCUCUAAUACAUUCAUGGCCACCAACCAAGAAAUAGGCCCUUAAUACUGCCCAGCAAACUCAACGUUUCUCUGAUCAAGUCUCUGUUGCCCUUCCCAAAACUUCAUUUAGAGCAGAUAACCUUAUCUCCUUAUCAGCCAACUACCAAAACUGAGUAUGUAUGCAUCCUGUAUUACCAUAUGUUUAUUUGUAUGUAUCCUAUUUACUCUGUGCAUUCGUAUUUUCUCUUGAUACAGUAGAGAAGCAGCUCAUCUGUUUGUAAUCCUGUGCCUUGAAUUUUACUGAUUUUCACCUGUCUGUAGAAACCUACAAUGUCUUCUAUCUUUGUCUCUCUUGUCCUAUCACCCUCUCUCAAAAUUGGAUUCUUGUUUUGGUUUUUAUUUUCCUUAAUAUCAUCUUAUUAAAGUUUCCAACAUAACAAAAAACUGAAAAAAAAAAUUGACAAAAUUCAUACCAGUAUUUUACAGUGGACAUGUAACUGCAUUUGCUUUAUCACAUGUCUAUCCAUCCCUCCAUUCUUUAGUCAUCUUAUAUUUUUGCUGCAUUUCAAAGUAAUUACAUUUUUCUCCCAAGUCUUUUAGCCUGUAUAUAAUUAACUAGUCAGUUUAAUAAGGCAAGAAAAAUAAAUAACAGGCAUAAGGAAACAAAAGGAUGGAGGAAAAUUAUUAUUUUUAGCAGGUGAAAUUAUUGUUUACCUAAAAAACUUGAACAAUUCCCUUAACAAAUAAGUGAAUUUAGCAAGCUUACAAGAUAUAAAGUCAAUAUACAGAAACUAAUUGUAUUUUUGUGUAAUUGAAGUAAAUUACUAGAAUAUAAGGUUUAAAUAAUUGCAUUUACAAUACAUCAAAAAAAUCGUAAAAUACUUAGUAAUAAAUUAAUAAACUGCUCAAGACCUAUACAUUGAAAAUAAAUGAUUGUUAACACAUAUAUAAAUGUAAUGCUAUAUCUUGAAUAAGUUGAGUGCAUAACACAGGUAUCUGCUGUCCUUACACAAAGGUUAGGUGAAAAUGACAUUUGAAUUGUUGAAAGAAGUCAACUUCCUCAUGCUAUAAAGGAAAAUUUGUUCUUAAUUUUUCCUCACUGCCUAUCUCCUGCUUUGCAAAUAUUGAAUUCUUUAGUAUAUAAUAAAAUGCAUCUAACCAUUAAAUAUUUUUGUGUAAGGU